AAUGAACGCUGGCGGUAGGCUUAACACAUGCAAGUCGGACGGUAGCAGGAAAUAAGUUUACUUAUUUUGCUGACGAGUGGCGGACGGGUGAGUAACGCGUGGGAAUCUACCCUAUAGUUGGGGACAACGUAUGGAAACGUACGCUAAUACCGAAUACGCUCUACGGAGUAAAGGAGCCCUCUUCAUGAAAGGUUUCGCUAUAGGAUGAGCCCGCGUAAGAUUAGCUAGUUGGUGAGGUAAUGGCUCACCAAGGCGACGAUCUUUAGCUGGUUUGAGAGGAUGAUCAGCCACACUGGGACUGAGACACGGCCCAGACUCCUACGGGAGGCAGCAGUGGGGAAUAUUGGACAAUGGACGAAAGUCUGAUCCAGCCAUACCGCGUGUGUGAAGAAGGCCUUCGGGUUGUAAAGCACUUUCAGUUGGGAGGAAGAUUAAGUAGUUAAUACCUGCUUAGUUUGACGUUACCUUCAGAAGAAGCACCGGCUAACUCUGU
rnacentral:rRNA from 1 species